UCGGAUGUCUUUCAAUUGGCAGGAACACUGGCUCUGACCCAGUUAAUGCACGUUCGAGUCGUGCCGCCCGAACCA
rnacentral:tRNA from 1 species